CAAUAGCGUAUAUUAAAGUUGUUGCGGUUAAAAAGCUCGUAGUUGGAUUUCUGCCGAGGACGACCGGUCCGCCCUCUGGGUGUGUAUCUGGUUUGGCCUGGGCAUCUUCUUGGAGAACGUAGCUGCACUUGACUGUGUGGUGCGGUGUCCAGGACUUUUACUUUGAGGAAAUUAGAGUGUUUCAAGCAGGCACACGCCUUGAAUACAUUAGCAUGGAAUAAUAAGAUAGGACCUCGGUUCUAUUUUGUUGGUUUCUAGAGCUGAGGUAAUGAUUAAUAGGGAUAGUUGGGGGCAUUCGUAUUUAACUGUCAGAGGUGAAAUUCUUGGAUUUGUUAAAGACGGACUACCGCGAAAGCAUUUGCCAAGGAUGUUUUCAUUG
rnacentral:rRNA from 1 species